rnacentral:rRNA from 1 species
GUGGGGAAUUUUGGACAAUGGGGGCAACCCUGAUCCAGCAAUGCCGCGUGCAGGAAGAAGGCCUUCGGGUUGUAAACUGCUUUUGUACGGAACGAAACGGUCUGGGUUAAUACCCUGGGCUAAUGACGGUACCGUAAGAAUAAGCACCGGCUAACUACGUGCCAGCAGCCGCGGUAAUACGUAGGGUGCGAGCGUUAAUCGGAAUUACUGGGCGUAAAGCGUGCGCAGGCGGUUUUGUAAGACAGGCGUGAAAUCCCCGGGCUCAACCUGGGAAUGGCGCUUGUGACUGCAAAGCUGGAGUGCGGCAGAGGGGGAUGGAAUUCCGCGUGUAGCAGUGAAAUGCGUAGAUAUGCGGAGGAACACCGAUGGCGAAGGCAAUCCCCUGGGCCUGCACUGACGCUCAUGCACGAAAGCGUGGGGAGCAAACAGGAUUAGAUACCCGGGUAGUCC